rnacentral:misc_RNA from 1 species
AAGUCGUAACAAGGUUUCCGUAGGUGAACCUGCGGAAGGAUCAUUAUUGAAAUUAGUGUAGAAGUUGUCGCUGGCUCUUAGGAGCAUGUGCACACUUCUUACAUAUAACUUCUCCACCUGUGCACCUUUUGUAGGCUCUUGGAUAUCUCUCAAACAAUGGAUCCUUAUAUUUUAAAGAUUCAGUUUGGAUGUGAGGAUUGUUGAGAAAUCAGCUCUCUUCAAAUUUCCAAGGUCUAUGUCUUUACAUAUACUCUAUCUUAAAUUAAAUGAGUGUCAAUGGUCCUAAACAGGCCUUUAAACUAAAUACAACUUUCAACAAUGGAUCUCUUGGUUCUC